GACGAGCGCUGGCGGCGUGCUUAACACAUGCAAGUCGAACGAAGUGGCGAACGGGUGAGUACUCCGUGGGUAACCUGCCCUCCUUUUUGGGAUAAGCCUUGGAAACGGGGUCUAAUACCGAAGAAAGGGGGAGGAGCUCGCGGCCUAUCAGCUUGUUGGUGGGGUGUUGGCCUACCGAGGCGGUGACGGGUAGCCGGCCUGAGAGAGUGACGUGCCACCUUGGGACGGGGAUACGGCCCAGACUCAGACGGGAGGCAGCAGUGGGGGAUACUGAACAAUGGGCGAAAGGCUGAUGCAGCGACGCCGCGUGGGGGAUGAAGGCUUUGGGGUUGUAAACCGCUUUCGCUAGCGAACGGGCAGGUGGAGAAGAAGCGCCGGCUAAUUACGUGCCAGCAGCCGCGGUAAUAC
rnacentral:rRNA from 1 species